CUUCCUUCUUUCCCCUUUCCUCUCCCUUGCCCUAUCUGUAUCCCUCCAUUACUCCCUUUCCUCCUUCCCUUACUGUAUCAUCAGAAGAUUUUAGAAACCUUUCUCUUCAGCAUCAUUCCCAUUUGCAGAUGCCAUUUCGGCUUUCCUCUCAUCAAGAAUUCGUUGCAUAACUCUGAUUUGUUUUUCCUUCUCUGCUCGUUUUCCAGCAGUUUCUCCUCAGAGUUUCUCAUUCCUCUUUUGCUUGUAGUGGUCAUCUGUUCGCUUGGCAAGUUCUGGCUUUUUUCUAUUGGCAGAUGACCAGUGGGAUGCUGCUCGUGGAUUUCUCAGUAUCUGAUCUCAUCAAUUUUUUGGGUUUUCUUUUAUAGUGGUGCUGCAAUUGGACAUUUCUUUGGUUCUUUUCCCUUACACGUUUGUCUCAUCAAUUUAUUGGAAAUGGUUCAGGUUAAGUAGGGAAACCAUAAGAAGAAUCAGCAGCGAUGGCGGUGCCUUUGCUUUCGAAGAAGACAGUGAAGAAAAGGGUCAAGAAGUUCAAGCAACUCCAGACAGAGUGCAAAAUUGUAACCUUUGUCUAUACUGCUUACAGCAAAUGACAUUCUUAAACCUACUAAUGUCUCUGCCGGAUUCACCUUAUCUGACAGCAACUCAAACACCCGUGUCCAACUUGCUAAGAAAGCGGAAAAGGGGAAUACAGGAAGUGUCAUGAGUCUUCCCAAGCAUAGUAGGAAGGUCACUCAUCAUGAAUAUGAAGUCGAAACAGCGAAUGGAAGAACAAUUACAAAAAAAGGAAAACCAAAAGUACUGUAAUGUUUGCGGACCCAAGCAGACAUAAAAAGCUAGAGACACCAAAAACUGUUACACCUAGAGCUGUUACUAAGGGAACAAAGGGACAAGUUCAUACAAAUUCAUCUAAUAUAGGUGAUCUGUUUUCAGAAGGAUCUCUGAAUCCUUAUGCAGAUGAUCCCUAUGCAUUUGAUUAGAGUAUGAAGUGUUUGGGUCGACCGUGAAGAAGCCAGUGCAAAAAAAAAAGGAUUUGUCUACAAAAAAGGUUGCUUCUACCCACUGAUUAUUCUAUAAGAUUUAUUGCAUGCAUUGUUUUCUAUGUCCUGAGCUACAUUAGACGAGGAAACUUUUUUAAACGUUUAGCUUGUUCAAUAUUGAUCAGGUAUAAUGCUAUGAGAUCAUUUUGGUAAAUCUGCAGUCUGGCAUGACUACUGAAUGUUCAGUUGUUCUUGAUAUUGCUAAGGAGCUGUUUCUCUUAGUUAAGUUGUUUGUAGUAUCAAAUCACUGCUGCAACUGGAUUUUGGCAGGAACUGUAUCAUGCAAUAGAAGGCUUUGCAAAUGGAAGAUGAAACUUUUUAAUUCUAGACAUUUUAGCACACAAAAAAUGUACAUUGCAACUGUAAUAAUGUUCCUUCAUUGAUAAACAAGAAUUAAACGUUUGCAUGUGUCUGAAAUGCGAAAUUGCCUGUUUUCGUGGCUCCAAAACUCUUUUCUGGAAGUUUGAUUGCUACAAUAACACAGAGCUCUUGUUAAAGAUGUAUGGCCAAUAUUGCAUUCCCCUCUGCAUCUUGAUUUUUUGUGAAAAGAAAUUAUGUUUCUUGAUUUUUCGUGUCACUUUUGUUUGUGCCUCCAAUUUUUUACCCCAACGGUGUCGUGCCACGUGAGAAAACUAAAAUCAAUUGAGGGUGUCUUGUCAACAUAUAAGACUAUUUGUUUACCUUGCUUGAGGUCAGGGAAUGUAUGAUUUCCCUAGGUGCAUCGUGGAUUUGUUAUUAGUUAUUAGUUUUUAAAAACCCUAUGUAUUCCUUGGUUUCCUUUUUUUUGGUGGUUAAUGUUAUUUUUGUUAUAGAGCAUGGUUCCGGCUCACUUUUCAUGAUGAUACUGGGUGUGUAAAUGUUAUUGCAUUAGAUGUCGAAGCUGAGAAGCUGAUUGGUGUUAGCGUGCUUGACAUGUUUGAGGCUGCUGACGAUGAGGUUAUGUGUUGCUCUAUUCUCAUGCAUAGAUAGCUGAACUUGGAGAUUGUUCAACUAUGUAGCCAGACCUUUAAGUUGUACCAUCGUGUGGCUUGUCGAAUUGAACUGACCAGGCUCCUAUGCUAUUUUAAGCGUUCAUCCGAUGUGAUCAACAAAGUGACGUGCACUAAAUACGCUGUUGUUGCUUGCUACCCAGUUUAGAGAGGUUGUUUUUUUGGAUGCUUGUUUCUUGUGCUAUCUUGUCAGCUCAUGAACUUCUUUGAGCUUGUAGUGGCGUCGGUAUUAGUUUUGAGGCUUAUAUGCUAUUGAUACUAAUAGCAUUUAGUGGUUCUGUUCUUUUUAAAAAAUUUUCUUUGGGAUGCUCUGUUAUGCUGCCAGCUCAGAGCCUUUCUUCUUGGGCUGAGCUCUUAGGCAGCAGUAGUAUUUGGAAUAGUGAUAUGUAGACUAUAGACCACAUGUUUGUUACAUAGACGAUUCAUUUAUUAGAUAAUU